rnacentral:snoRNA from 1 species
GAAAAGAUAAUUUGUCACAGAACUGAUUUUGCCUCAGGAGAAAAAAUGUUUGAUUUCCUCUAAGAAGUUAAGAGCUC